rnacentral:misc_RNA from 1 species
UAAUAUUAUAAUAUUAAUUUGUAUAAAUAUGAAAAAUAUUGGUUUGCUUUAAAAGCAUUCCAUUUAUUAUUUAAUCUGCAAAUUAUCUUGAAUUAACUCUUUCUUUGGUUUUUUUAUUGAUUUAUCUCAAUUACAACUUAAUAAUAUAUAAAUUUGAUAUAAACAUGCAUAUUAUUUUAUUAUAAUAUAUAAAUAUAUAUAUUGUUAUUUAUUUAUUAUAGAAAUUAAAACGGGAAACACACUCCUGCCCCAAUUUUUUUUUGCCCUGCUUAGGAUGGGACAUGGAUGGCAAAACCCUGUCUUUCCCCUUUGCCAUGCCUACUAUUUAGGUUUUGCUUAUUGUCAACUGACCUGAACUGAUCCAUUUUUUAAGGCGGGAUGGGUUAUAUACUUAUAUCACAAACCAGUCUAAACCAAUUAAUUGGGUCAGGUUGAAAAAGACACAUUGUUGGUCUUAGGUUGACAAUGUAUCCAUAAUUUCCUUUAUAUGGCCUAGAUAGCAAAUUUGUCUUUUUCUAAUUAUUUUCAACAUUCAUAGGAAAAUUCAAAUUACCGUGAAGGAAAUUGGGUUGACUUUCUGGAAGACUUUAAAAUAAUGUAUUUGCUGGUGCAAUAUUUUUGGAUACAAAAGAGUGAGUUGCAGGUGCUGGACAUAACAACGCAUGAGUAUGAGAUGGGCCCUGAAUCAGAUCAUUCAUUUAUAUUCGUUAUUAUGUUCUAUAAAUAUCAUGUACAUAAAGUUCUCAAUGAGGAAGUUUGCUUUUAAGCAUGCUGGAGCCAAGAAGUUCUUAACAAUUUUUAUAUCACUUGAACAGUUAAGAUAAAUGAAUUACCAGCCUAAACAUGCUACAUUACAUGGAAUUUGGUGAUACUUAUAUACAGGGAAGAUAAUAAAUUCUCACCAAUAGCUUGGCCAUUUCCAUAUAGCUUCAUUCAUCAGUAUUGUGUCACUUUGACUCAUAUUUAUGCUUAAUUUGCAUAUUUUGAGUCCAUCUAACAUAGCUAUAGCGUUCAAAACUCCCUGCAAUCCAAUUACCUAUAUGAAUUGAAAUUUGAAUUAUGUGGUAGUCAAUCAGGCAAGAAAACUAAUCUAGCGUGCGUGGAACUCUGGAUUGAUUGGAUCUCUCUCUUAUAAACAUAGAGUUACAUUUUUGCAUUUAUUAUUUUACUGGCUCAGGUAUAGCAUUCUUUAAAUGGAAUAAUGUAUUGUUUUACAAAUUAAACAUUUAUUAUAGCUGUCCAACUUUUAGUUCUUGAUCAGAUGCUGAACACAUGCUAUGAAUUUGAAACUUAGCUUGUUGCUAUUAGAAGUAAAUAAGAGCUGUGUUGUUGAUAGACUAUUAAUAUAUAUUUGCAAGUUACUCAAUAUUUGGGUAUUUCCUUUUAGGU